rnacentral:rRNA from 1 species
GUGGCGAACGGGUGAGUAACACGUGAGUAACCUGCCCUUAACUCUGGGAUAAGCCUGGGAAACUGGGUCUAAUACCGGAUAGGAGCGCCUACCGCAUGGUGGGUGUUGGAAAGAUUUAUCGGUUUUGGAUGGACUCGCGGCCUAUCAGCUUGUUGGUGAGGUAAUGGCUCACCAAGGCGACGACGGGUAGCCGGCCUGAGAGGGUGACCGGCCACACUGGGACUGAGACACGGCCCAGACUCCUACGGGAGGCAGCAGUGGGGAAUAUUGCACAAUGGGCGCAAGCCUGAUGCAGCGACGCCGCGUGAGGGAUGACGGCCUUCGGGUUGUAAACCUCUUUCAGUAGGGAAGAAGCGAAAGUGACGGUACCUGCAGAAGAAGCACCGGCUAACUACGUGCCAGCAGCCGCGGUAAUACGUAGGGUGCGAGCGUUAUCCGGAAUUAUUGGGCGUAAAGAGCUCGUAGGCGGUUUGUCGCGUCUGUCGUGAAAGUCCGGGGCUUAACCCCGGAUCUGCGGUGGGUACGGGCAGACUAGAGUGCAGUAGGGGAGACUGGAAUUCCUGGUGUAGCGGUGGAAUGCGCAGAUAUCAGGAGGAACACCGAUGGCGAAGGCAGGUCUCUGGGCUGUAACUGACGCUGAGGAGCGAAAGCAUGGGGAGCGAACAGGAUUAGAUACCCUGGUAGUCCAUGCCGUAAACGUUGGGCACUAGGUGUGGGGACCAUUCCACGGUUUCCGCGCCGCAGCUAACGCAUUAAGUGCCCCGCCUGGGGAGUACGGCCGCAAGGCUAAAACUCAAAGGAAUUGACGGGGGCCCGCACAAGCGGCGGAGCAUGCGGAUUAAUUCGAUGCAACGCGAAGAACCUUACCAAGGCUUGACAUGUUCUCGAUCGCCGUAGAGAUACGGUUUCCCCUUUGGGGCGGGUUCACAGGUGGUGCAUGGUUGUCGUCAGCUCGUGUCGUGAGAUGUUGGGUUAAGUCCCGCAACGAGCGCAACCCUCGUUCCAUGUUGCCAGCACGUAAUGGUGGGGACUCAUGGGAGACUGCCGGGGUCAACUCGGAGGAAGGUGAGGACGACGUCAAAUCAUCAUGCCCCUUAUGUCUUGGGCUUCACGCAUGCUACAAUGGCCGGUACAAUGGGUUGCGAUACUGUGAGGUGGAGCUAAUCCCAAAAAGCCGGUCUCAGUUCGGAUUGGGGUCUGCAACUCGACCCAUGAAAGU